UCGGUCCUCACGUCUACACAAGACACAACCUUAUCUCUUCCCGAGCGCCGGUGCUAUUCUUAUCCUUUCCCCACCAGUGUGCUCUCUCUCUCCCAACCUUUCUCUCCCGUUCACACCACACAAGGCACAACCUUAUCUCUUCCUCACCUGUGCUCUCUCUGAAUCUCGUGAUGGAGAGCAAUGUGUAGCUAAUCACAAGUGUUUGCUCUUGAUUCUGAGAGAAUGGCGCCGCCGAGGAUGAUGGCAACAGCGUGCCUGUGUUCGUCGAGUACAACCUCGACGAGCUCAGGGCAGCCACCGACGGCUUCUCCCCCGACCGCAUCGUGUAGGAGCAUGGCGAGAAUGCGGAGCAUGGCGAGAAUGCGCCCAAUGUGGUCUACCUCAGCACGCUCUUCAGCUCCAGCCGCACCGUCGCCAUCAAGCGCUUUGGCCGUUCCGGCUGGCCCGACUCCUGCCAGUUCUUCGUCCGUGUAGCUUGCUUCGUGUCAUGGAUCAUUUCUUGUUUGUCUCUAGCCUUUGUGGCGUCUGAUUGAAUUGUUGUAUGUCUGUGGAUUUGUUUGAUGAGAUCUGCUUGUGUUCUUGUGAUGAGAUAAGAUGAGUGUCUUUAGUCUGU